UACGAAGGGGGCUAGCGUUGCUCGGAAUUACUGGGCGUAAAGGGCGCGUAGGUGGCCUGUUAAGUCGAACGUGAAAUCCCCGGGCUCAACCCGGGAACUGCGUCCGAGACUGGCAGGCUCGAAUCCGGGAGAGGGAUGUGGAAUUCCAGGUGUAGCGGUGAAAUGCGUAGAUAUCUGGAGGAACACCGGUGGCGAAGGCGGCAUCCUGGACCGGUAUUGACGCUGAGGCGCGAAAGCCAGGGGAGCAAACGGG
rnacentral:rRNA from 1 species